AUUGAACGCUGGCGGCAUGCUUUACACAUGCAAGUCGAACGGUAACAGGCCUCCGGCUCCUGACUAGUGGCGAACGGGUGAGUAUUGCAUCUGAACGUGUCCCGGGUAGGGGGGUAUCGCAUCGAAAGCUGUGCUAUUAUCGCACGUGAUUUGAGAAUGAGAGCGGGGGGCCACUCCGGAACUUUUGCCCUCGCGCCUCUCUAGCUCCCAAUGUCUGAUUAGUUAGUUGGUGGGGUAAAGGCCUACCAAGCCGACGAUCUGUAGCUGGUCUGAGAGGACGACCAGCCACACUGGGACUGAGACACGGCCCAGACUCCUAAGGGAGGCAGCAGUGGGGAAUUUUGGACAAUGGGCGAAAGCCUGAUCCAGCAAUGCCGCGUGAGGGAAGAAGGCCUUCGGAUUGUAAACCGCUUUUGUACGGGACGAAAAGGAUCUGGCUAAUACCUGGGGCUGAUGACGGUACCAUAAGAAUAAGCACCGGCUAACUACGUG
rnacentral:rRNA from 1 species